rnacentral:lncRNA from 1 species
AUGUAUAUAUACAUAUGUAUAGAGUAGGGCUAGAAUACUUGUAAAAGUAUCAUGGGGGUGAUACUUGUAUGUUUUUAGCCCUUGGAUGGAGAGAUGUGAGUUUGAGAUGAUGGUGGUAGGUGGUGGUAGGUGGUGGUAGGUGGAAUAGUGUUUAAUCCAAUGACUAUUAAUAAUCAAAAAGUAGAUCCAAUGGCUUAAAACCUAAUAGCACCAUGAUGGUGAUACUUGUAAAAGUAUCAUAGCUCAACUCGUUAUAUAUAUAUAUAGUGCGUCUGGUAUACUUCUGGAAGCACGGAGCGCUUCGUACUUUCAAGUUGUUUUCGAUGUUCGGACUUUCGAAUUAACGAUCGGCUUCGUUAGACUUGAUCUAGAGUAUUUGAAGUAUUUAGAAAAUAAAUUUUGCAAUUUUUCGAUAUCAUUUGCCUAGUGAUCAAAGUGGCUCAAAAUCAACGGCUGAAAAUAAAAAUCAUACAAUAUGAUGAUAUGACAUUAAAAUUUUAGAUCGAAGUUAUUGAUCUUGUUUUAUACUGUAUAAAGAAUUUUCUAUCAAAAUUUCAUGUGAUUUGGAUAUUUCUACACCGUUAAACUUGCAAAUGGCUCACCACAGCCGUUAAAAUUAUUGAUUUUGAGCCCCUUCGAUCACUAGGCAAAUGAUAUCGAAAAAUCAUAAAAUUUAUUUUCUAUGUACUUCAAAUACUCUAGAUCAACUCUAAUGGAGCCGAUCGUCAAUUCGAAAGUCCGAACAUCGAAAACAACUUGGAAGCACGGAGGGCUCCGUGCUUCCAGAAGCAUACCAGCCCUCUCUCUCUCUCUCUCUCUCUCUCUCUCU